CUGCAGCCCGAGUGGUGAUCGAUUUUAUUGAGCCUAAAGCGUCCGUAGCCGGACUAGUAAACCCUUGGGUAAAUUGGGCAGCUCAACUGUCCAAAUUCCGAGGGGACUGCUAGUCUUGGGACCGGGAGAGGUCAGAGGUACUCAAGGGGUAGGGGCUAAAUCCUGUAAUCCUUUGGGGACCACCAGUGGCGAAGGCGUCUGACUAGAACGGAUCCGACGGUAAGGGACGAAACCCUGGGGCGCGAACCGGAUUAGAGACCCGAGUAGUCC
rnacentral:rRNA from 1 species